rnacentral:rRNA from 1 species
UACAGAGACCUCAAGCGUUAUCCGGAAUCAUUGGGCGUAAAGCGUACCGAUAGGUGGUUUAUUAAGUUUUGGGUAAAAGCCAGAAGCUCAACUUCUGCGUUUUGCUCAAGAUACUGAUAGACUAGAGGGACAAAGAGGUGGCUGGAACGAAUGGUGUAGUAGUGAAAUGCGUUGAUAUCAUUCGGAACACCGAAAGCGAAGACAGGCCACUGGGUGUCUCCUGACACUGCUAGGACGAAAGCGUGGGGUAGCGAAUGGG